GGGUUGUGAGGUUAAGCGACUAAGCGUACACGGUGGAUGCCCUGGCAGUCAGAGGCGAUGAAGGACGUGCUAAUCUGCGAAAAGCGUCGGUAAGGUGAUAUGAACCGUUACAGCCGGCGAUGUCCGAAUGGGGAAACCCAGUGCAAUUCGUUGCACUAUCGUUAACUGAAUACAUAGGUUAACGAGGCGAACCGGGGGAACUGAAACAUCUAAGUACCCCGAGGAAAAGAAAUCAACCGAGAUUCCCCCAGUAGCGGCGAGCGAACGGGGAGCAGCCCAGAGUCUGAAUCAGCUUGUGUGUUAGUGGAACGGUCUGGAAAGUCCGACGGUACAGGGUGAUAGUCCCGUACACCAAAAUGCACAGGUUGUGAACUCGAAGAGUAGGGCGGGACACGUGGUAUCCUGUCUGAAUAUGGGGGGACCAUCCUCCAAGGCUAAAUACUCCUGACUGACCGAUAGUGAACCAGUACCGUGAGGGAAAGGCGAAAAGAACCCCGGCGAGGGGAGUGAAAAAGAACCUGAAACCGUGUACGUACAAGCAGUGGGAGCACCUUCGGGUGUGACUGCGUACCUUUUGUAUAAUGGGUCAGCGACUUAUAUUCUGUAGCAAGGUUAACCGUAUAGGGGAGCCGCAGGGAAACCGAGUCUUAACUGGGCGUUAAGUUGCAGGGUAUAGACCCGAAACCCGGUGAUCUAGCCAUGGGCAGGUUGAAGGUUGGGUAACACUAACUGGAGGACCGAACCGACUAAUGUUGAAAAAUUAGCGGAUGACUUGUGGCUGGGGGUGAAAGGCCAAUCAAACCGGGAGAUAGCUGGUUCUCCCCGAAAGCUAUUUAGGUAGCGCCUCGUGAACUCAUCUUCGGGGGUAGAGCACUGUUUCGGCUAGGGGGUCAUCCCGACUUACCAACCCGAUGCAAACUACGAAUACCGAAGAAUGUUAUCACGGGAGACACACGGCGGGUGCUAACGUCCGUCGUGAAGAGGGAAACAACCCAGACCGCCAGCUAAGGUCCCAAAGUCAUGGUUAAGUGGGAAACGAUGUGGGAAGGCACAGACAGCCAGGAUGUUGGCUUAGAAGCAGCCAUCAUUUAAAGAAAGCGUAAUAGCUCACUGGUCGAGUCGGCCUGCGCGGAAGAUGUAACGGGGCUAAACCAUGCACCGAAGCUGCGGCAGCGACACUAUGUGUUGUUGGGUAGGGGAGCGUUCUGUAAGCCUGCGAAGGUGUGCUGUGAGGCAUGCUGGAGGUAUCAGAAGUGCGAAUGCUGACAUAAGUAACGAUAAAGCGGGUGAAAAGCCCGCUCGCCGGAAGACCAAGGGUUCCUGUCCAACGUUAAUCGGGGCAGGGUGAGUCGACCCCUAAGGCGAGGCCGAAAGGCGUAGUCGAUGGGAAACAGGUUAAUAUUCCUGUACUUGGUGUUACUGCGAAGGGGGGACGGAGAAGGCUAUGUUAGCCGGGCGACGGUUGUCCCGGUUUAAGCAUGUAGGCUGGUUAUCCAGGCAAAUCCGGAUAAUCAAGGCUGAGGUGUGAUGACGAGGCACUACGGUGCUGAAGUAACAAAUGCCCUGCUUCCAGGAAAAGCCUCUAAGCAUCAGGUAACAUCAAAUCGUACCCCAAACCGACACAGGUGGUCAGGUAGAGAAUACCAAGGCGCUUGAGAGAACUCGGGUGAAGGAACUAGGCAAAAUGGUGCCGUAACUUCGGGAGAAGGCACGCUGGUGUGUAGGUGAAGUCCCUGCGGAUGGAGCUGAGACCAGUCGAAGAUACCAGCUGGCUGCAACUGUUUAUUAAAAACACAGCACUGUGCAAACACGAAAGUGGACGUAUACGGUGUGACGCCUGCCCGGUGCCGGAAGGUUAAUUGAUGGGGUUAUCCGUAAGGAGAAGCUCUUGAUCGAAGCCCCGGUAAACGGCGGCCGUAACUAUAACGGUCCUAAGGUAGCGAAAUUCCUUGUCGGGUAAGUUCCGACCUGCACGAAUGGCGUAAUGAUGGCCAGGCUGUCUCCACCCGAGACUCAGUGAAAUUGAACUCGCUGUGAAGAUGCAGUGUACCCGCGGCAAGACGGAAAGACCCCGUGAACCUUUACUAUAGCUUGACACUGAACAUUGAGCCUUGAUGUGUAGGAUAGGUGGGAGGCUUUGAAGCGUGGACGCCAGUCUGCGUGGAGCCAACCUUGAAAUACCACCCUUUAAUGUUUGAUGUUCUAACGUUGGCCCCUGACCGGGGUUGCGGACAGUGUCUGGUGGGUAGUUUGACUGGGGCGGUCUCCUCCCAAAGCGUAACGGAGGAGCACGAAGGUUAGCUAAUCCUGGUCGGACAUCAGGAGGUUAGUGCAAUGGCAUAAGCUAGCUUGACUGCGAGCGUGACGGCGCGAGCAGGUGCGAAAGCAGGUCAUAGUGAUCCGGUGGUUCUGAAUGGAAGGGCCAUCGCUCAACGGAUAAAAGGUACUCCGGGGAUAACAGGCUGAUACCGCCCAAGAGUUCAUAUCGACGGCGGUGUUUGGCACCUCGAUGUCGGCUCAUCACAUCCUGGGGCUGAAGUAGGUCCCAAGGGUAUGGCUGUUCGCCAUU
rnacentral:rRNA from 1 species